rnacentral:other from 1 species
AUUUCUCUGAGAUGUUUGCAAGCGGGCCAGUCCCCUGAGCCGAUAUUUCAUACCACAAGAAUGUGGCGCUCCACGGUUGGUGAGCAUGCUCGGCACUGUGACGACACAUUCACCUUGAACCAAGGGUUCAAGGGUUACAGCCUGCGGCGGCAUCUCGGAGAUUCC